UACGGGGGGGGCAAGCGUUGUUCGGAAUUACUGGGCGUAAAGGGCGCGUAGGCGGCCUAUUAAGUCGGACGUGAAAUCCCUCGGCUCAACCGGGGAACUGCGUCCGAUACUGGCAGGCUUGAAUCCGGGAGAGGGAUGUGGAAUUCCAGGUGUAGCGGUGAAAUGCGCAGAUAUCAGGAAGAACACCUAUGGCGAAGGCAGCACUCUGGGACGGUACUGACGCUGAGACGCGAAAGCGUGGGGAGCGAACAGG
rnacentral:rRNA from 1 species